GUUUCCAUAGUGUAGCAGCUAGCACGUCUGCUUUACACGCAGAAGGUCCUGGGUUUGCACCCCAGUGAAGUCA
rnacentral:tRNA from 1 species